rnacentral:rRNA from 1 species
CAGUCGAACGAGUUCUCGUUGAUGAUCGGUGCUUGCACCGAGAUUCAACAUGGAACGAGUGGCGGACGGGUGAGUAACACGUGGGUAACCUGCCCUUAAGUGGGGGAUAACAUUUGGAAACAGAUGCUAAUACCGCAUAGAUCCAAGAACCGCAUGGUUCUUGGCUGAAAGAUGGCGUAAGCUAUCGCUUUUGGAUGGACCCGCGGCGUAUUAGCUAGUUGGUGAGGUGAUGGCUCACCAAGGCGAUGAUACGUAGCCGAACUGAGAGGUUGAUCGGCCACAUUGGGACUGAGACACGGCCCAAACUCCUACGGGAGGCAGCAGUAGGGAAUCUUCCACAAUGGACGCAAGUCUGAUGGAGCAACGCCGCGUGAGUGAAGAAGGCUUUCGGGUCGUAAAACUCUGUUGUUGGAGAAGAAUGGUCGGCAGAGUAACUGUUGUCGGCGUGACGGUAUCCAACCAGAAAGCCACGGCUAACUACGUGCCAGCAGCCGCGGUAAUACGUAGGUGGCAAGCGUUAUCCGGAUUUAUUGGGCGUAAAGCGAGCGCAGGCGGUUUUUUAAGUCUGAUGUGAAAGCCCUCGGCUUAACCGAGGAAGCGCAUCGGAAACUGGGAAACUUGAGUGCAGAAGAGGACAGUGGAACUCCAUGUGUAGCGGUGAAAUGCGUAGAUAUAUGGAAGAACACCAGUGGCGAAGGCGGCUGUCUGGUCUGUAACUGA